rnacentral:rRNA from 1 species
AAGGCGGCGGACUACACAUGCAGUCGAGCGGAACGAUGGAAGCUUGCUUCCAGGCGUCGAGCGGCGGACGGGUGAGUAAUGCAUAGGAAUCUGCCCGGUAGUGGGGGAUAACCUGGGGAAACCCAGGCUAAUACCGCAUACGUCCUACGGGAGAAAGCAGGGGAUCUUCGGACCUUGCGCUAUCGGAUGAGCCUAUGUCGGAUUAGCUAGUUGGUGAGGUAAUGGCUCACCAAGGCUGCGAUCCGUAGCUGGUCUGAGAGGAUGAUCAGCCACAUCGGGACUGAGACACGGCCCGAACUCCUACGGGAGGCAGCAGUGGGGAAUAUUGGACAAUGGGCGAAAGCCUGAUCCAGCCAUGCCGCGUGUGUGAAGAAGGCUUUCGGGUUGUAAAGCACUUUCAGUGGGGAAGAAAUCCUCGGGGCCAAUACCCUCGAGGGAGGACAUCACCCACAGAAGAAGCACCGGCUAACUCCGUGCCAGCAGCCGCGGUAAUACGGAGGGUGCGAGCGUUAAUCGGAAUUACUGGGCGUAAAGCGCGCGUAGGCGGCGUGAUAAGCCGGUUGUGAAAGCCCCGGGCUCAACCUGGGAACGGCAUCCGGAACUGUCAGGCUAGAGUGCAGGAGAGGAAGGUAGAAUUCCCGGUGUAGCGGUGAAAUGCGUAGAGAUCGGGAGGAAUACCAGUGGCGAAGGCGGCCUUCUGGACUGACACUGACGCUGAGGUGCGAAAGCGUGGGUAGCAAACAGGAUUAGAUACCCUGGUAGUCCACGCCGUAAACGAUGUCGACUAGCCGUUGGGGUCC